UUGAGAUUCAACUUUCGGCAGCUCCCUGCUACACAUUCGCGCAUGCGCAUUGAGACUUUCGCUUUCACUUUGGAUUGUGAAAAAGAAAACACUUCGCACGCAGGAUUGUGUUGAAUAUUUUCGCUAUGAUGUGAUGCGGGCUGAGGUUUUGUUCCCUUUCCUUGUGGCAGAUUGCUUCGUAAUUUUUUGUUUCCCAACAGCAAAAUUCCUCCAAGUUCUCCUGUGUGUCAUCCAGCCAUCAACGUCUAACAAGUUGUCUCCCUGUAAUAUAUCUAUCAAGCUGCAGUCAAGCUCGAACAGAAACGAGAUAUAUAAGGACUUCAUAGAAUUCACCAACAUCGAAUCAUUGGAAGCAUUCAAGUACAAGAUGACGAAGCUUAGAAAAUUGUGUUGUCUUUU